GCUCCAAUGGCCUAAUGGUUAGAGUGUCCGCAUCAAAUGCGCGAGGACGUGGGUUCGAUUCCCGUUUGAGUCA